UUACCAACCAUCACUGUCCCACCAUCGCUACACAACACAACACAACAACCGCACAAAUCAUCAUAACCAUUCGAGAAAUCAACUCAAAAAUUUUAAAAAAGAAAAGGAAAAAAGAAAAAAGAAACGGAAACAACACAUCUGCACCGUUGUGGAUUAACCAAUGUCAUGUUAGAAGCAACGGCAAUGGGCACCCCUCGUCACCAGGCAACAGUAUGCGAUAAAAAGAAUAGGAGGAGAUGAAAGGAGAAUGAUGCUAUUGGAGUCAUUGAUUCUAGAUAUGAUGGAUCAUGUGUUGGAAAAAGGAGAAAAUACUGAUGACUUCCAUUAAGGAAAGAUGGAGGAGAUAACGGGUAUAUGGAACGGCGAAGAACUCUGCUUGCAGCGAAGUGAGUAGAGAGUGGGCCUCUGAUAGCAUGGUCUGUGAGAGAGAGGAUAGAGAGACAGGUGAGGAAGAUAGGAGAGUGAAUGAUUUAUAGUUUGAAUGGGG
rnacentral:lncRNA from 1 species